rnacentral:rRNA from 1 species
GCCAGUAGCCAUAUCACCCUGUAACCCACCGCUGACAGCCCACUGAAGCUAAGCUGGUGUGAGCUGGGUCAGUACCUGGAUGUGAGAACUCCUGGAAAAAAGUAAGGUUGCUGCUAGGU